CACAUCUCAGGAUGGGGCAAUAUUUGGUGAGAACCAUAUUGGAUUCUACCAAAUUACAAAUAUAUUCCAGGUUGGCCUGAUCACUCACUCACCACUCCCUGCAACUCCAUGGAGAAGAUAUAAGCUGUCAAAAAUGUGUUUGUGAGUCUGAUGAGCUCUUUCACCCAGGUGACAGGGGUUUCUGCCAUAUUAAUAUUCUUCUUCUUCUCCACCUUUUGUGUUUCAAUGCUGGGCCUGGAGAAGGCAGGGACCUUGGCUCUUCCACGGUGGCUGUUCAUCAGCACUCACACAUCCACUACACCGGUUUAGUCGCACGCUGGAAGUAGAGACGGGGUUUCACCGUGUUAGCCAGGAUGGUCUUGAUCUCCUGACCUCGUGAUCUGCCCGCCUCGGUCUCCCAAAGUGCUGGGAUUACAGAUGUGACCAAGCAAGAGUUUGUCAAUUCAGAGGUAGACCCCAGAUGGUGGGAAUCAAGGGAGGGAAGUGAGGGGCACACGGGCCUCUGGGGGCUGAGGCAGGAGACAGCUCUCUGCCUUUCUCAGAGGACCUUUGGAGAUGUGAAUGAAAACAGCUGUCUGAACAAGUUGUACCCUAACUAGCACAGCUGUGAAUCUGAAGCUUGAAAUGGGGAAGUUGGUCAGCAUGGGUGAAGCUAUGCAGCCCAGGUGAAGGGAUCCUCAAGCAGCAGCCUCUGCCUUUUUGUCUUCUCCUUUUCAUGGAGAUGACAAGAAUCACCCCAGGACUUAUCUUCUGAGGUGCUCAGCUGUGGUCCCAGAGCUGCUUUGGUCACUGCUAUGGCAGGUGGAAGCAGGAUGGGUGAAGUCAUUCUGGAGAACAAGGUAAAUUAUAGCCAAAUUAUAUAUUUGCAUAUGCCAUGACCCAGCAUCCCAAUAUAUGCCAGAGAAACUCUUGCACAGAUUCAUGUGG
rnacentral:lncRNA from 1 species